rnacentral:rRNA from 1 species
UACAGAGGUCUCAAGCGUUGUUCGGAUUCAUUGGGCGUAAAGGGUGCGUAGGCGGUGCUUUAAGUCAGGGGUGAAAUCCUGGAGCUCAACUCCAGAACUGCCUUUGAUACUGAAGAUCUUGAGUUCGGGAGAGGUGAGUGGAACUGCGAGUGUAGAGGUGAAAUUCGUAGAUAUUCGCAAGAACACCAGUGGCGAAGGCGGCUCACUGGCCCGAUACUGACGCUGAGGCACGAAAGCGUGGGGAGCAAACAGG